AACGAACGCUGGCGGCAGGCCUAACACAUGCAAGUCGAGCGGACCUUUCGGGGUCAGCGGCGGACGGGUGAGUAACGCGUGGGAAUAUGCCCUUCUCUACGGAAUAGUCCUGGGAAACUGGGGGUAAUACCGUAUACGCCCUUUGGGGGAAAGAUUUAUCGGGGAAGGAUUAGCCCGCGUUGGAUUAGGUAGUUGGUGGGGUAAUGGCCUACCAAGCCGACGAUCCAUAGCUGGUUUGAGAGGAUGAUCAGCCACACUGGGACUGAGACACGGCCCAGACUCCUACGGGAGGGAGCAGUGGGGAAUCUUAGACAAUGGGGGCAACCCUGAUCUAGCCAUGCCGCGUGAGUGAUGAAGGCCUUAGGGUUGUAAAGCUCUUUCAGCUGGGAAGAUAAUGACGGUACCAGCAGAAGAAGCCCCGGCUAACUCCGUG
rnacentral:rRNA from 1 species